rnacentral:rRNA from 1 species
GACGAACGCUGGCGGCGUGCUUAACACAUGCAAGUCGAACGAAGUGGCGAACGGGUGAGUAAUACGUGGGUAACCUGCCCUCCUUUUUGGGAUAAGCCUUGGAAACGGGGUCUAAUACCGAAUUAAGGGGGAUGGGCUCGCGGCCUAUCAGCUUGUGGGUGGGGUGCUGGCCUACCACGGCGGUGACGGGUAGCCUGCCUGGGGGGGUGAGCGGCCACCUGUGGACUGAGAUACGGCCCAGACUCCUACGGGAGGCAGCGGUGGGGGAUAUUGCACCAUGGGCGAAAGACGGAUGCAGCGACGCCGAGUGGGGGAUGAAGGCUUUCGGGUUGUAAACCUCUUUCGCUAUGGAACGGGUAGGUGGAGAAGAAGCGCCGGGUAACUACGUGCCAGCAGCCGCGGUAAUUC